UAUACUUUUUCUAUUGUCAUAGAGUAGGUUUUUUUAAUUAAUAUAUACUAGUGUAGAGACCCGCGCGAUACAGCGGGUAAAUAAUAAAAGCAAAAUUUAAAAAUUUUAAUAAAAUUUAUAUUUACGACUUAUUGAUAUAUAGAAAGUUAUACCAUGUUAAGUACAGUCAAUUUACAUGUCAAAAUUUAACUGUUAAAAAAAUAAAAUUAUAGCUAAAACCACUCAUUGAUAGAAUAUUAAUAUGGUGCAUAUAAUUAAAUGUUGCAUCUUGCAUGUAAUUAGAGAAGUGGGGAGGUAGAGGGUUGGACGUUGAGAAGAGGAGAAGGUGGUUCGAUUUAAAGUUUAGACUAUGCAAAUGAAGGGUGGCAUGUCAUGUGGCAAAAAAAUUUUUUAUGGUCUAUACAAAAGAGUUACAAAAGAAAGAGGAUGAGAGAUUAAUGGAGAAGGGGAGUAGAUUAAAGUUAUAAAGCCCAUAGAAUAUUAAUAUGGUACAUAUAAUUAAAUAUUACACCUUACAUGUAAUUAGCGGAGUGGGGAGGUGAAGGGUUGGACGUUGAGAAUGAAAGGUAACAUACCACAUGUCAAAAGAUAUUGUGGGUUCAUAUAGGUUUAUAGAUAUAUGGUUGUGGUUUGCUGGUUGUGGUCCCAUU
rnacentral:lncRNA from 1 species